UGAUAGGCUACAGGUGUAAAGGUUGAGAGACCAAAGCUGAGUAGUACUAAUAGCCCGAAGCUUUCCAAGCGGAUAGUCACUGUUGUCUUCUUCUUAUUUCUAUUUUUUCUUUCAAUAGUAUGUCAAUGUAGUCUCAAAGAGACAUUAAAGAUCUUUGGGUGCCUAUAUCGGCGGUGUUCACCUCUUCCCAUUCCGAACAGAGCAGUUAAGCCCGCCCGAGCCGAUGGUAUUGCCGUAACAGGUGGGAGAGUAGGUCGGUGCCUUCU
rnacentral:rRNA from 1 species